rnacentral:rRNA from 1 species
GAGUUUGAUCCUGGCUCAGGACGAACGCUGGCGGCGCGCCUAACACAUGCAAGUCGAACGAAGGGAAGGGGGCUCGCCCCCUGAACUUAGUGGCGGACGGGUGAGUAACACGUGAGCAACCUGCCCUAUAGAGGGGGAUAACGUUUGGAAACGAACGCUAAUACCGCAUAACGCGCUGGGGGGACAUCCCUUUGGCGCCAAAGGAGCAAUCCGCUAUAGGAUGGGCUCGCGUCCGAUUAGAUAGUUGGCGGGGUAACGGCCCACCAAGUCGACGAUCGGUAGCCGGACUGAGAGGUUGAACGGCCACAUUGGGACUGAGACACGGCCCAGACUCCUACGGGAGGCAGCAGUGGGGGAUAUUGCACAAUGGAGGGAACUCUGAUGCAGCGACGCCGCGUGAGGGAAGAAGGUUUUCGGAUUGUAAACCUCUGUCUUCGGUGACGAAACGAGACGGUAGCCGAGGAGGAAGCCACGGCUAACUACGUGCCAGCAGUCGCGGUAAUACGUAGGUGGCAAGCGUUGUCCGGAAUUACUGGGUGUAACGGGAGCGUAGGCGGGAAAGCAAGUUGAAUGUUUAAGGUACGGGCUCAACCUGUACAAGCGUUCAAAACUGUUUUUCUUGAGUGGAGUAGAGGUAAGCGGAAUUCCUAGUGUAGCGGUGAAAUGCG